GCUCAGGCUGUGAUUUCAAGCCAGGGGGCGCUUUUCUGUAACUGCAUGAAAAGCACCUCCGGGGUUUGAAGCUCACAGUUUGAGA
rfam:Chlorocebus sabaeus isolate 1994-021 chromosome 6, whole genome shotgun sequence.